AAAACAUAAAAUGCAAGUCGGACGAGAGACCUUCGGGUCUCUAGUGGCGAACGGGUGAGUAACACGUAGGGAACCUGCCCGCGCACCGGGAAUACGCUCUGGAAACGGAGAACAAAUCCCGAUGUACAGGAAGGAGGCAUCUUCUUUCUGUGAAACAUCCUUUAGGGGAUGGGGCGCGGAUGGACCUGCGGUGCAUUAGUUGGUUGGCGGGGUAAAGGCCCACCAAGACGAUGAUGCAUAGCCGGCCUGAGAGGGUGGACGGCCACAUUGGGACUGAGACACGGCCCAGACUCCUGCGGGAGGCAGCAGUAGGGAAUUUUCGUCAAUGGGCGCAAGCCUGAACGAGCGAUGCCGCGUGAGUGAAGAAGGCCUUCGGGUCGUAAAGCUCUGUUGCGGGGGAAAAAAGGCAGCAUCAGGAAAUGGGUGCUGACUGAUGGUGCCCCGCCAGAAAGUCACGGCUAACUACGUGCCAGCAGCCGCGGUAAUACGUAGGUGGCGAGCGUUAUCCGGAAUGAUUGGGCGUAAAGGGUGCGCAGGCGGUCCUGCAAGUCUGGAGUGAAACGCAUGAGCUCAACUCAUGCAUGGCUUUGGAAACUGGAGGACUGGAGAGCAGGAGAGGGCGGUGGAACUCCAUGUGUAGCGGUAAAAUGCGUAGAUAUAUGGAAGAACACCAGUGGCGAAGGCGGCCGCCUGGCCUGUUGCUGACGCUGAGGCACGAAAGCGUGGGGAGCAAAUAGGAUUAGAUACCCUAGUAGUCCACGCCGUANACGAUGAGGACCAAGUGUUGGGGGUGAAACCUC
rnacentral:rRNA from 1 species